rnacentral:rRNA from 1 species
GUAGGGGACGAGCGUUAUCCGGAUUUACUGGGCGUAAAGCGCCCGUAGGCGGCCAAGUAAGUUGGACGUGAAAGCUCCCGGCUUAACUGGGAGAGGCCGUUCAAAACUAUUUGGCUAGAGUGAGGCAGAGGAGCGCGGAAUUCCCGGUGUAGUGGUGGAAUGCGUAGAUAUCGGGAGGAACACCAGUGGCGAAAGCGGCGCUCUGGGCCUAAACUGACGCUGAGGGGCGAAAGCGUGGGGAGCGAACGGGAUUAGAUACCCCGGUAGUCCACGCCGUAAACGAUGGAGACUAGGUGUAGGCGGAUAGAACCCCGUCUGUGCCGAAGCCAACGCGUUAAGUCUCCCGCCUGGGGAGUACGGCCGCAAGGUUAAA